GACGCAUGAGAAACAGAUCCCACGACUCCCUCGUCUCUCCCAAAUCGCCGCCACCAAUGCCUCGUCUCCCUCCUCCGACCCGCCUCGUCUCCCUUGCGCCGACCCUCCACCUCCCCUCCUCCCACCUCACAGCUCCGGAGGCUGCAGGAUCCGCCACAUCCCCACCCAACCGUCCCUCUCGUGUUCCAUCCCGGUCUCUUCACGCGGCUCCUCGCCGCGCUACCUGCGGCGGCUGCAUCAGGUGAUGUCCGGCGAAUCCCGCCAGUGCCAAGCACAGCCUGAGGUCCCUUAGCUCCGUGGAGCCCUCCCAUCCAGCUAGAUCGAGCGCUCGCUGCCACCAAAGCCCACCUGCGACCCAUCCCCCAUGGCUAGGGUUUCGGGCUUCAGAUCCGGUGCCGGUGACCAUGUCGUCCUCGUCUCAUCCGACAUGCGGGGAGGAACAGGCAGUGGACAACCUUGCUGCGGCUCGGGAUGAAGCAGCCACGAGCUUCCUCCUCCGGCUUCAGGUGAGUUGGUCCACUCCUCCCUCUGCUCUGGUUCGUGGCACAUCAGGAGACAUUGUUGUUCUGGUGUUGUUAGGAUUUUCUACUGUUUGGGAUCAAGUGUCUUCUGGUUGAGGUCUAUUUGAUUUUGUUUUGCUGCUAAAGAGGAUGACCACAUGCUUGACUGAGUCACGAUGUGUUGAGGCUGGGAAGGUCGGCAUGGCCUCCAACCAUGGCAAAUACACCUACUAUGCUGCUGCCUUGCAAGCAGUAGUGGCUAAAAAUCAACCCCUAGCUGCAUAUUAUUUCUAGGGUAACAUCAUUGUAGGGAGGGAUUCUGAAGCCCAUCUACGCAGUAACCAGUGUGUUUGAGGCAAUUAGUACAAAAAACACCUAGGUAUGGUUAAAAUUCAGGUUAGGGUCUACAAGUAAUUAAUACAGUAUAAAUCUCCAAGGCCCUGAUUAUUUUCUUUUCCAAUCUUUAGUAUUCUCCUGUUUCAGGUUUUGACCAUGGCCAACAUAUAUUCUUGUAGGCUAAUUACUAAAUCAAUCUAACAAUGGUUCAUGUGGCAGUGGAGGUGUACCAAAGGUAGUUUGAAGCAGAUUAGGCGGCCGCGGGCGUCUUUGGCGGUGAGGCCAUCCAGUGAAGGAAAUGGCGGUGUGGCGAUUUGUGUUCUAUUCUCCAUCCUUUAAGCUCAUAACAGAAGAAAGAACUAUACAAUCACUAUUGUUUUAUUAAGAAAAGACCUGUCUUGUAUGCAUGUAUUGAUGAGUACUCCUCUUGACUCGAUUGUGUUGUAGGGAGUGAAAGCAUCGAGUUGCGGUGGUCUCCAACUCUGGUCGCCUCCAGCAGCACCACAUAAUCAAAGUCCAAACAGUAGUGUUGGACUGUUGCCUCCAGCCAACCAUAACAUAAUCAUUGGAUGUGUUUCUUAUGUAGAAGAUUUGAGUGAUCUGCACGCACCAACUUGAUGUAGGGGGACACCAUGGAAGGCUAUGUCGUAUAUUGUGGCGUCUGGAUUAGUCAUCAAUGAUCACUAACAGUCAUGCCGGUAUAUUUCCAGAAUCAUAACAAGGACGUAGUUCUUGCUACAGUUCUAAGUUAUGAUCCUAAAUUGAAAAUUGAUGGUGCUGAAAUUAAAAUGCAUUUUGGGCAGUGUAAUACAACACUUGCGAAAACUCUGAAGAUUUGGUACAGAGUCGCAAAAACUACAAUACUAAUGGUAAUGCAAAAAAAUAUAUUGCAUGGCCUUCAAUGUUUAUUGAAAAGAUAUAUGGAUGAUUAUAUGGGUGCGUAACAAGUAUACUGCAAUGAUGAUGACGACGACGACGAUAUUCUGGUUCAUGAUGUUGAUGAUGAUGGAUGCUUUCAAUUUUAGUUAAGUUGUGGGAUGUUCCUAUUGGACGAUGUUCCUUAGUUAGUUUUAGUCAAGUUGUAGGGAUAUUGAUGGAUGAUUUAGUUUAGAUUUUGCUGUCAAGAAAUUUUAGAUUAUGCACACAUUUGGAUGAUGUUCCUCCUGUAAUAUCCAUUAUUGUAAUCCAACAUUUUUAUAUGAUAUAUGAUUUCUUCCUCUUGUGAGUA